rnacentral:rRNA from 1 species
UACGGAGGGUGCGAGCGUUGUCCGGAAUCACUGGGCGUAAAGGGCGCGUAGGCGGCUGGGGAAGUCGGCGGUGAAAGCCCGGAGCUCAACUCCGGGUCGGCCGUCGAGACUCCUCGGCUCGAGCUCACUAGAGGCAGAUGGAAUUCCGGGUGUAGCGGUGGAAUGCGUAGAGAUCCGGAAGAACACCAGUGGCGAAGGCGGCCCGCUGGGCAGUGGCUGACGCUGAUGCGCGAAAGCCAGGGGAGCGAACGGG